GUACACUCCUGCGGGAGGCAGCAGUGGGGAAUUUUGGACAAUGGGCGAAAGCCUGAUACAGCAAUGCCGCGUGUGUGAAGAAGGCCUUCGGGUUGUAAAGCACUUUUGUCCGGAAAGAAAUCCUUGGCUCUAAUACAGUCGGGGGAUGACGGUACCGGAAGAAUAAGCACCGGCUAACUACGUGCCAGCAGCAGCGGUAAUACGUAGGGUGCGAGCGUUAAUCGGAAUUACUGGGCGUAAAGCGUGCGCAGGCGGUUUGCUAAGACCGAUGUGAAAUCCCCGGGCUCAACCUGGGAACUGCAUUGGUGACUGGCAGGCUAGAGUAUGGCAGAGGGGGGUAGAAUUCCACGUGUAGCAGUGAAAUGCGUAGAGAUGUGGAGGAAUACCGAUGGCGAAGGCAGCCCCCUGGGCCAAUACUGACGCUCAUGCACGAAAGCGUGGGGAGCAAACAGGAUUAGAUACCCUAGUAGUCCCA
rnacentral:rRNA from 1 species